UACGGAGGAUCCGAGCGUUAUCCGGAUUUAUUGGGUUUAAAGGGUGCGUAGGCGGAAUGAUAAGUCAGUGGUGAAAGUUUGUAGCUCAACUAUAAAAUUGCCAUUGAAACUGUCGUUCUUGAGUGCAAAUGAGGUAGGCGGAAUGUGUUGUGUAGCGGUGAAAUGCUUAGAUAUAACACAGAACCCCGAUUGCGAAGGCAGCUUACUGGGAUGCAACUGACGCUGAGGCACGAAAGCGUGGGGAUCAAACAGG
rnacentral:rRNA from 1 species